AUUGAACGCUGGCGGCAUGCCUUACACAUGCAAGUCGAACGGCAGCGCGGGAGCAAUCCUGGCGGCGAGUGGCGAACGGGUGAGUAAUACAUCGGAACGUGCCCAAUCGUGGGGGAUAACGCAGCGAAAGCUGUGCUAAUACCGCAUACGAUCUACGGAUGAAAGCAGGGGAUCGCAAGACCUUGCGCGAAUGGAGCGGCCGAUGGCAGAUUAGGUAGUUGGUGAGGUAAAGGCUCACCAAGCCUUCGAUCUGUAGCUGGUCUGAGAGGACGACCAGCCACACUGGGACUGAGACACGGCCCAGACUCCUACGGGAGGCAGCAGUGGGGAAUUUUGGACAAUGGGCGAAAGCCUGAUCCAGCCAUGCCGCGUGCAGGAUGAAGGCCUUCGGGUUGUAAACUGCUUUUGUACGGAACGAAACGGCCUUUUCUAAUAAAGAGGGCUAAUGACGGUACCGUAAGAAUAAGCACCGGCUAACUACGUGCCAGCAGCCGCGGUAAUACGUAGGGUGCAAGCGUUAAUCGGAAUUACUGGGCGUAAAGCGUGCGCAGGCGGUUAUGUAAGACAGUUGUGAAAUCCCCGGGCUCAACCUGGGAACUGCAUCUGUGACUGCAUAGCUAGAGUACGGUAGAGGGGGAUGGAAUUCCGCGUGUAGCAGUGAAAUGCGUAGAUAUGCGGAGGAACACCGAUGGCGAAGGCAAUCCUCUGGACCUGUACUGACGCUCAUGCACGAAAGCGUGGGG
rnacentral:rRNA from 1 species